AGAAUCAACGCUGGCGGCGUGCCUAACACAUGCAAGUCGCACGGGAAAGGGUAGCAAUACCUGAGUACAGUGGCGCACGGGUGAGUAACACGUGACUAACCUACCCUCGAGUGGGGAAUAACCUGGGGAAACCCGGGCUAAUACCGCAUAACACUUACGAGUCAAAGCAGCAAUGCGCUUGAGGAGGGGGUCGCGGCCGAUUAGCUAGUUGGCGGGGUAAUGGCCCACCAAGGCAAUGAUCGGUAUCCGGCCUGAGAGGGCGCACGGACACACUGGAACUGAAACACGGUCCAGACUCCUACGGGAGGCAGCAGUGGGGAAUUUUGCGCAAUGGGGGAAACCCUGACGCAGCAACGCCGCGUGGAGGAUGAAGUCUCUUGGGACGUAAACUCCUUUCGAUCGGGACGAUAAUGACGGUACCGAUAGAAGAAGCCCCGGCUAACUUCGUGCCAGCAGCCGC
rnacentral:rRNA from 1 species